GAUGAACGCUGGCGGCGUGCCUAAUACAUGCAAGUCGAGCGAACGGACGAGAAGCUUGCUUUUCUGAUGUUAGCGGCGGACGGGUGAGUAACACGUGGAUAACCUACCUAUAAGACUGGGAUAACUUCGGGAAACCGGAGCUAAUACCGGCUAAUAUUUUGAACCGCAUGGUUCAAAAGUGAAAGACGGUCUUGCUGUCACUUAUAGAUGGAUCCGCGCUGCAUUGGCUAGUUGGUAAGGUAACGGCUUACCAAGGCAACGAUGCAUAGCCGACCUGAGAGGGUGAUCGGCCACACUGGAACUGAGACACGGUCCAGACUCCUACGGGAGGCAGCAGUAGGGAAUCUUCCGCAAUGGGCGAAAGCCUGACGGAGCAACGCCGCGUGAGUGAUGAAGGUCUUCGGAUCGUAAAACUCUGUUAUUAGGGAAGAACAUAUGUGUAAGUAACUGUGCACAUCUUGACGGUACCUAAUCAGAAAGCCACGGCUAACUACGUG
rnacentral:rRNA from 1 species